AAUAAUGUAAUACCCGAUUUUGGCCCGGGUAAAAGGCCCAAAUUACAAACGGGCCUAUAAGGGCCCAAACCGAAAUAAAACAAGAGGCCCAAAAUUCGGUCGCCCAAAACAAUUGCAGGAACCCUAGGGUUUCUAAGGAUCAACAGUGCCGCAGCCAAGCCAGAAUCUCCACGCCUUCACCUGUAAGAAAUAAACAGCAAAAAUGGAAAGAGAAUCAAAGAUUCGCAAAUCAAAUAAAAAAUAGAUUUGUUUCUUCUUUAUAUUGUUUCAUUCGGUUAUAAAAAAGCCAUGGAUGUACUGUAAAAGGGAUGAAAAAAGUAAAUAAGAAAAAGAGAGCAGCAUUUCACACAAAAAAAGAACUGGAAAUUAAAUCGGAGAAUCAAUCGAAAACACAAAGGUUGAUGUAUAUAUAUAUAUAUAUAUAUUUGUUUCUGUUAUUUAUUUCUUUUAUUUUUUACAUACUGAUAAAAUAAAAGAAAAAGGUAGAGAAGUUUACCUUCGUGUGGGUUUGUCACGCCGUGAGACGAUUGAGGGAGCCACCCCCGAGGAUCGGUGGCCGAAAAUCGAAAGGUUUUGAGAUUUCCUCCCGUUUU
rnacentral:lncRNA from 1 species